UGGCCCGGUCGCGACUGGCGCAGGUGGGUCACCACCAGGGAGCGGCACAGCACAGCAGACUCCGGGUCGUUCGCCUGGGCCGCGGGU
rnacentral:ncRNA from 2 species